rnacentral:sRNA from 1 species
UUAGUUUUGUUUAGAGUUGUAUUUUUUUCUUAAGUGUUAUUGGAUGUUUUUACUUGAAAGAGAGCUCUAGUAUAGGAAAGAUAAUGUUUUCAGAAAUAUUUUUGAUUCUUAACAUUGUGCAAUUAGAAAUAUGGAUCUGUGUUCAUUUUUAUUUAUUUUUAGGAAAUAUAUUUUUUAAAAGAGAACUUUCAAAUGGAAAACAGAACAUAUGUAUUCAAGAAACAAUGUUUUUUCUUUAGUUGAUUUGUUCGCUAUUACUUAUGUAGUAGGAUAAUGCCAUUUGCAUAAAGACCUGAUGCUUCGUUGCUAGUUGAGAGGCAUCAUGAAACUAUAUUGAGGUUUGGUUGUAAUCACUUGUUUGAUCCAGUUUUAUCUAGGGUUCCUUUAUCUUAUUUUCAAAAUACCCAAUAGUUAAAUAUACAUUCAAUACUCUGAAUUACUUUUGAACUAAAACAAAUACUACAUUGAGCUGAUGUAUGUUACUAAGUCUGGGAAACAUUUCUUCACUUUUAUAAUCCACUUGUUUCUCUGUGAAAGUAGUUCAAUUUUUUUUAAUAUUUUACUUAGUUGUUUCUGCAAUGUGCUCAGCCUUUCUUCUAUCCCAUUGUCAGCUUUGGUACAAGGAAGGAAGUUUUUUCUCCCUCCAACACUAUUUGUGUUGGGAGUUGUGGUUUUAUUUGUGGUAAUUCCAGGUUGCAAAGAUCUGUGUGUGUGUGUGUAGAACAGAAAACAAUGUGCAGAAGAUUUAGGUUUGAAUCGAAUGUAUGGGUUUAAGGAAUCCAAAUGCUUGGGUUUUGAAUCGAAUGAAAUAGUUGUUAUUGUUAUGUGCCAGGGGAGGUAUGGGAGAUUGUAGGGAAGACAAGUGGUAGAGUAAUGGUGUGCAGCAUGGGGAGAAAGUGUCUGCUUUGUUUUGUGCAGGGGAGGUAUGGGAGGUUGUAGGGAAGACAAGUGGUAGAGUAAUGGUGUGCAGCAUGGGGAGAAAGUGUCUGCUUUGUUUUGUGCAGGGGAGGUAUGGGAGAUUGUAGGGAAGACAAGUGGUAGAGUAAUGGUGUGCAGCAUGGGGAGAAAGUGUCUGCUUUGUUUUGUGCAGGGGAGGUAUGGGAGAUUGUAGGGAAGACAAGUGGUAGAGUAAUGGUGUGCAGCAUGGGGAGAAAGUGUCUGCUUUGUUUUGUGCAGGGGAGGUAUGGGAGGUUGUAGGGAAGACAAGUGGUAGAGUAAUGGUGUGCAGCAUGGGGAGAAAGUGUCUGCUUUGUUUUGUGCAGGGGAGGUAUGGGAGAUUGUAGGGAAGACAAGUGGUAGAGUAAUGGUGUGCAGCAUGGGGAGAAAGUGUCUGUCUGCUUUGUUGUUGUUUUUUCUAUUUCAACAAUCCUGUAGAGGAGCCAUAAGACAUUUUUCUCUCAAAGAUAUAAUACGUGUUGAGUUGUUUUUUUAAGUAUUGUCAUGGUAGAUCAUUUAAAACAAACAAACUUGAAUUGCCGUCUCACCCCUGAAAAAAAACGUUGAGGUGUGUUCUUCAAUGGCGAUGCUAUAUUUGUAUUUCCAUCCACCAGCUUUCAAAUUCCUUUCAUUGUUCAACAUUUCUAUUCUUAAAUCAAUCCAAUUAUAGCAUAUCUGGUUCUGGUGCAUUCUCAGUAUUUUUUAAAAUUAAGCAAGCUAAACUGUAACAAGAAGAGAAAAAAACAAGACUAUUGUAGAUGAGCGGGUGGCCUGAAUAAUGUGAAUAGCUUCUUCCUAUUGUGUGCACGAUUUUGUUUUCUUUCUCAUCCUCACUCUCCAGCUCAAAAUGUGGCAGAACUGCAUUGGAAACUCUUUGUGUGUUUUUCUCCAUUACACUCUUAGUUAAUAACACAAUCGUAAUUGAUGAGCACUCUUGCUGCCUUACAACGGGGACGUAGACACCAGUACUACAUAGAGAGGCUCCUGGGUAAAGUACACCCUAGUCUGUAGACCUAACAGUGUCACACUCUCACCAUCGCAUCUAUAAUAUGUAGAGUGUCAGAUACUAAUCUUUGCUGUAACACAGCCACAGAGACCAAAGUGUCACGUGUUUCAUUAGUUAGAUCUCCCGCCAGUUUUUUUUUUUUUGUUUCUUUGGAUUUACAUUUGAACUGCGUUUGGUUAGAACCGAAUGCCAUAAAUACUACUUAAAGUGCAGAGUUCUCUUUUCCAAACAACGUUUACAUAGUCCUGUCUUAUUUAUAGCCUCUUUAGUUUCAGGGGUUGAGCAUUUUAGGAGGCCCGUACUUUUAACAAAGUUUCUCAUAGGUGUGACCUUGAAAUUCUAAAGUAGAUCUAUUGAUAAUCUUUUUUUGUUCAAGGUGAAUCCGACCCAAAUGUAAAAGUGAUUUAAAUGUGUGCACAGUUAAAUAACGCCAUAGUGUAGGUAACAUUGUUGGGCGGUAGGUUGAUGUUUGUCUAAAUCUAACAUAAUAGUGUAGGUAACAUUGUUGGGCGGUAGGUUGAUGUUUGUCGAAAUCUAACAUAAUACUGUAGGUAACAUUGUUGGGCGGUAGGUUGAUGUUUGUCUAAAUCUAACACAAUACUGUAGGUAACAUUGUUGGGCGGUAGGUUGAUGUUUGUCUAAAUCCCUUCCUAUCUUCCUAGUUCCAGUCUCUUAGGUUGUUGUCCCAUUAGAUGCCCCCCCCCCCGAUCCCAGUUUUUCAUCGCUUUCUCACCCUGUCAACUGGAUCUUACAAAUCAAAAUGUAAACAAAUAUCUCCUGUAUAUGGCAACCUACACAUUUUUCCCCAUCGAUGUAAAAAUGUUCUCUCCUAUGUACUCUACUCUUUAUGGCUUGCAGAGGGUUGGGGCAGUAAAUAGACGCCUGAAAACAGCUUUCAAAACACAUUGAACUGUAGCGUGUGUUGGUGUAAGAAAACGCGUGUUCCUUGGAGGAUACCUGUCCACGUGUGAAAACAAAGAUGUUUCUUGGAGGAUACCUGCCUAUGAAAACAAAGGCGUUCUUUUUUCAUUCUACCCGUCUACCUGUGAAAACAAAGAUAUUCUUUGUAUGAUACCCGAAAACAAAGAUGUUCUUUGUAUGAUACCUGCCUAUGAAAACCAAUAUUUCCCUUGUAUGCUACUUGUCUACAUGUGAAAACAAAUAUGUCCAUGGUGAGUUCGAAGAUGCAUCUAUCCAUGUUUGGGUAGCCUCUUAUCAUUUUUUGUUUUCUUGCAUCUCUCUUGACUACUCUAAAGGAAAACGAGUUACUCUCGGCAAAUGUCAAUGUGGGCACUGUAUAGUUCAUGGUCAUAUAUUUGGGGCAAUGUCGCAUUAGUGUAGGUUGCCCAUUUAAUCCAAACUUCUGUGUAUGUUGGGUAAACAUGGUCGCAUCGAUAUGAAGGUGAAAUGUUGCUAAGGUUAUUUGUGGCUCG